CAGAUUCUGCACUAGAAAUUCCUCCCAGUCGAGGGCUUUUUUUCCCUCCUGUGAAAAAUAAACCAGAAGAAAGGAGAAGAUGUAUUUUUGUAAUUUAGUUUCAUGAUUUUAAGGACCAAAUCUCAGCUUUAUUUCUCUAGAAUAGGAAAUAGAGAUAUCGUUGUCAUCUUAUGUUUUUUCUCACUUGAUCUGAUCUAUGAUCUGUUGAAACUUGAUCAUCUGUUCUUGCAAGUGAGGUUUUGUUGCUACAUUUCUGAACUUCAAAAUUAGAAAAAUAAUAUCCUGAAGCUUCUAAUACUUACAGUUGAGCUGACUUUAUAUUCUGUUUACACCUACCAUUUUACAUAAAUCUUUAUGCCUUUUAUUUAGAAGACAACAUAAAAAUUAAAAGAGAAAAAAUAUCCCCCAUAUUCAUAAUACCUCUCUAUGGACUAUUCUUUUGUGGGAUAAGGUAGGUGGGAGAAUGGAAGAGUAGCAGACCCAUUAGAAUACAAAACAUAUGCCCUGGAAUACACUUGUGUCAGUGACAAAUGCUGCUUUGCUGUGCUACAUCGAGUACAAGUCCAGUGAUUCAAGUUUGACACACCACACCACGGUGGAUGUGCCUUGUCAUGACACAUCUUCUCAGCAGCACUAGAAGAUACAUCCAAAGUCCUGUGAGCAAGGACACAGCGAGAAGAUGGCUGUCUACAAGCCAGGAAGAGAGUCCUCACCAGAACCAAACCCUGCUGGACUUUGAUCUUGGACUUCCCAGCCUCUAAAACUGUGAAGACAUAAAUUUCUGUUGUUAAACCCACACAGGUCUGUGGUAUCUGUUUAUUAUGGCAGCCCAGUAAGACUAAGACAGGCCAUCACAAGACAUGAAUGUUUUGGACCUUCUCUUGGGCCCUAGUAAACAGAAAUCAGGUACGCAAAAGGGGUAAGCAUAUAAUUUCCUUUAUUUUUAUUUUUAAUGUGUAAGCCUUAGGUUUUUAUUUAUUUAUUUGGUGAAGACAAUCACAUUGUGUACGUACAAUGUAAUUAUAUUGUUGACGAGAAGUUACUUAAAAUUUUUUAAAAAUUCUAAUCGAUUUCUAGAUGUCCAAAUGAGAAGAUAGCAUUUAUAUACCAUCAGAACAUAAAAUAAUUCAAAAAAAUAAAUUUAUAAAACAAUAUGUAUUAUAUUGAGAGAAAGAGAGGGAGAGAGUAUUGGAAGAAUAUAUGCAAAUACAAUGUGAUAAUGUGAUGUCUUUGUGAGAAUGCUAUAUGUCAUUUUCUUUGUUUAUAUGAAUUUUUACAAUUUUUACCUUUGAAAUAUAAAAAAGAGAGAAUAAAAGUCAUUGAAAAAAUCAAAAGUAACUAUUUUCAUAGGUGAGUAAGUAUACAUCUUUAACAGAACAGCAAAGAGUCGAUGAAUGUUCAGAGAUAUUAUAUAAGUAACAGAUAAGAAGUGUCCUGAUCUAUGGUAUUCAUUCUCAGUUGCAAAUAUAUAUGCAAAAAACCCCACA
rnacentral:lncRNA from 1 species